ensembl:lncRNA
UAUAAAUCAUCUGUCAUUGAGUUAGUCUGGAGCCUUAAAGGUGAGGUGUAUAAAUCAUCUGUCAUAGAGUUAGCCUGGAGCCUUAAAGGAGCGGUUUAUAAAUUGGACUUGACAUGGAUCUUAUGAUGCCAUGGAGAAUCAGGAAGAGAGAGGGCAACACCCAUGUAUGUCAAAGUCACAGGGUGGGUGACAUAGUGACAUGAUCCUUCAAAACAGUGACACAGUGACAAGAUGAUGAGCAUCCCAGUCAGAUUCUCCACACUGUCUGCCCUGUCUGUGGUUUAAGAUAACAUUAGUUCACCACGCUGUCUGAGAGAGAGAGAGAGAGAGAGAGAGAGACGCAGGGAGAAAGAGGCAGAGAGAGAGAGAGACGCAGGGAGAAAGAGGCAGAGAGAGAGAAAAACAGAGAAAGAAAGGCAGAGAGAAAAAGAGGCAGAGAAAGAGAGAAGUAGAGAGAGAGGGGCAGAGAGAAAAAGAGAGAGAGGCAGAGAGAGAGAGGCAGAGAAAGAGAGAGAGAGAGAGGCAGAGAGAGAGAGAGGCAGAGAGAGUGAGAGAGGCAGAGAAAGUGAGGCAGAGAGAAAGUGAGGCAGAGAGAGAGAGAAGAAGAGACAAAGAGAAGCAGAUAGAGAGGCAGAGAGAGAGAGAGGCAGAGAGAGAGGCAGAGAGAGAGAGAGGCAGCGAGAGAGAGAGGCACAGAGAGAGAGAGAGGCAGAGAGAGAGGCAGAGAGAGAGGCAGAGAGAAAGAGAGGCAGAGAGAAAGAGAGGCAGAGAGAAAGAGAGGCAGAGAAAGGGAGAGAGAGGCAGAGAGAGAGAGAGAGAGUGAGAGAGGCAGAGAGAGAGAAGCAGAGAGAGAGACAGGUAGAGAGAGCAGUUGAAUGCAAGUUUCAGUUGCUCUUCACCAACUUCCUCCUGCAGCCAACGCCUGCACUUUGGGAGGCUCUAUUUAACCAAUAAGGGCCGAGGAAGUGUGGAAUAUGGGCAAUAUACCACGACUGACGGCUGUUCUUAGGCAC